GAUGAACGCUGGCGGCGUGCCUAAUACAUGCAAGUCGAGAGAACGGACGAGAAGCUUGCUUUUCUGAUGUUAGCGGCGGACGGGUGAGUAACACGUGGAUAACCUACCUAUAAGACUGGGAUAACUUCGGGAAACCGGAGCUAAUACCGGAUAAUAUUUUGAACCGCAUGGUUCAAAAGUUAAAGACGGUCUUGCUGUCACUUAUAGAUGGAUCCGCGCUGCAUUAGCUAGUUGGUAAGGUAACGGCUUACCAAGGCAACGAUGCAUAGCCGACCUGAGAGGGUGAUCGGCCACACUGGAACUGAGACACGGUCCAGACUCCUACGGGAGGCAGCAGUAGGGAAUCUUCCGCAAUGGGCGAAAGCCUGACGGAGCAACGCCGCGUGAGUGAUGAAGGUCUUCGGAUCGUAAAACUCUGUUAUUAGGGAAGAACAUAUGUGUAAGUAACUGUGCACAUCUUGACGGUACCUAAUCAGAAAGCCACGGCUAACUACGUG
rnacentral:rRNA from 1 species